rnacentral:rRNA from 1 species
CUGGCUCAGGAUGAACGCUAGCGGCAGGCUUAACACAUGCAAGUCGAGGGGCAGCGGGAUGUAGCAAUACAUUGCCGGCGACCGGCGGAUGGGUGCGUAACGCGUAUGCAACCUACCUUAUACAGGGGAAUAACCUUUCGAAAGGGAGACUAACACCCCAUAGUAUUGAUUUAAGGCAUCUUAGAUUAAUUAAAUAUUUAUAGGUAUAAGAUGGGCAUGCGUAUGAUUAGCUAGUUGGUAAGGUAACGGCUUACCAAGGCGACGAUCAUUAGGGGUUCUGAGAGGAAGGUCCCCCACACUGGUACUGAGACACGGACCAGACUCCUACGGGAGGCAGCAGUGAGGAAUAUUGGUCAAUGGGCGCAAGCCUGAACCAGCCAUGCCGCGUGCAGGAAAGACGGCCUUAUGGGUUGUAAACUGCUUUUACAUAAGACUAACCGUAUAUUUGCGAAUAUACCUGAAUGUAUUAUGAGAAUAAGGAUCGGCUAACUCCGUGCCAGCAGCCGC